rnacentral:rRNA from 1 species
AUUGAACGCUGGCGGCAUGCUUUACACAUGCAAGUCGAACGGUAACAGGCCGCAAGGUGCUGACGAGUGGCGAACGGGUGAGUAAUGCAUCGGAACGUGCCCAGUCGUGGGGGAUAACUACUCGAAAGAGUAGCUAAUACCGCAUACGAUCUAUGGAUGAAAGCGGGGGACCGUAAGGCCUCGCGCGAUUGGAGCGGCCGAUGUCAGAUUAGGUAGUUGGUGGGGUAAAGGCUCACCAAGCCAACGAUCUGUAGCUGGUCUGAGAGGACGACCAGCCACACUGUGACUGAGACACGGCCCAGACUCCUGCGGGAGGCAGCAGUGGGGAAUUUUAGACAAUGGGCGCGAGCCUGAUCCAGCAAUGCCGCGUGCAGGAAGAAGGCCUUCGGGUUGUAAACUGCUUUUGUACGGAGCGAAACGGCUCUGGUUAAUACCCGGGGCUAAUGACGGUACCGUAAGAAUAAGCACCGGCUAACUACGUG